AUGGCUCUGAAGAGAAUCCAAAAGGAAUUGAAUGACCUGGCACGGGAUCCCCCAGCACAAUGUUCAGCCGGCCCUGUUGGAGAUGACAUGUUUCAUUGGCAAGCUAUCAUAAGGGGACCAAAUGACAGUCCCUAUCAGGGUGGAGUAUUUUUCUUGACAAUUCAUUUCCCAACUGAUUACCCCUUCAAACCACCUAAGGUUGCAGUUACAACAAGAAUUUAUCAUCCAAAUAUUAGCAGUAAUGGGAGCAUUUGUCUUGAUAGUCUACGGUCACAGUGGUCUCCAGCACUAACUAUUUCAAAAGUCUCUGUUGUGUGAUCCCAAUCCAGAAGAUCCCGUAGUGCCUGAGAUUGCUCGGAUCUGCUAAACAGAUAGAGAAAAGCACAACAGAAUAGCUCGGGAAUGGACUCAGAAGUAUGCGAUUUAA